GCUAAACGCGAAGAACCUUACCUGGGCUUGAACUGUCGGUAUAGGGACCCGAAAGGGCGACGAUCCCGGGCAACCGGGAAGCCGAUAGAGGUGCUGCAUGGCUGUCGUCAGCUCGUGUCGUGAGAUGUUGGGUUAAGUCCCGCAACGAGCGCAACCCUUAUCUUUAGUUGCCAGCGAGUCAUGUCGGGCACUCUAAGGAGACUGCCUCGGAUAACGAGGAGGAAGGUGGGGAUGACGUCAAGUCAGCAUGGCCUUUAUGUCCAGGGCUACACACGUGCUACAAUGGGCGGCACAGAAGGACGCGAGACCGCGAGGUCAAGCCAACCCUUAAAACCGCUCUCAGUUCGGAUUGCAGGCUGCAAUUCGCCUGCAUGAAGUCGGAAUCGCUAGUAAUCGCGGAUCAGCUACGCCGCGGUGAAUACGUUCUCGGGUCUUGUACACACCG
rnacentral:rRNA from 1 species